GUGGGGAAUAUUGGACAAUGGGCGAAAGCCUGAUCCAGCCAUGCCGCGUGUGUGAAGAAGGUCUUCGGAUUGUAAAGCACUUUAAGUUGGGAGGAAGUGUAGUAACCUAAUACGUUGCUACUUUGACGUUACCGACAGAAUAAGCACCGGCUAACUCUGUGCCAGCAGCCGCGGUAAUACAGAGGGUGCAAGCGUUAAUCGGAAUUACUGGGCGUAAAGCGCGCGUAGGUGGUUCGUUAAGUUGGAUGUGAAAUCCCCGGGCUCAACCUGGGAACUGCAGCCAAAACUGGCAAGCUAGAGUAGGGCAGAGGGUGGUGGAAUUUCCUGUGUAGCGGUGAAAUGCGUAGAUAUAGGAAGGAACACCAGUGGCGAAGGCGACCACCUGGGCUCAUACUGACACUGAGGUGCGAAAGCGUGGGGAGCAAACAGGAUUAGAUACCCCAGUAGUCC
rnacentral:rRNA from 1 species